rnacentral:rRNA from 1 species
AGUGAACGCUGGCGGCGUGCUUAACACAUGCAAGUCGAACGAGAACGGAAUAUAGCUUGCUAUAUUUGUCAGCUAAGUGGCGCACGGGUGAGUAAUGUAUAGAUAACCUGCCCUUAAGAAAGGAAUAACAGUUGGAAACGACUGCUAAUGCCCUAUAUGCCUUUAAUACAUAAGUAUGCAAGGGAAACGCUUUAGUGCUUAAGGAUGGGUCUGUAUGGUAUCAGCUUGUUGGUGAGGUAAUGGCUCACCAAGGCUAUGACGCCUAACUGGUUUGAGAGAAUGAUCAGUAACACUGGAACUGAGACAGGGUCCAGACUCAUACGGGAGGAAGCAGUGGGGAAUAUUGAAAAAUGGACGAAAGUCUGAUACAGCAACGCCGCGUGGAGGAUGACACAUUUGGGUGCGAAAACUCCUUUUAUAUAGGAAGAUAAUGACGGUACUGUAUGAAUAAGCACCGGCUAACUCCGUGCCGGCCGCCGCGGUAA